rnacentral:rRNA from 1 species
GACAGAGGGUGCAAACGUUGUUCGGAUUUACUGGGCGUAAAGCGCGUGUAGGCGGCUUUGCAAGUCGGAUGUGAAAGCCCACGGCUCAACCGUGGAAGUGCAUCCGAAACUGCAUGGCUGGAGUCUCGGAGAGGAAGGUGGAAUGCUUGGUGUAGAGGUGAAAUUCGUAGAUAUCGGGAGGAACACCAGUGGCGAAGGCGGCUCUCUGGGCAGAUACUGACGCUGAGACGCGAAAGCGUGGGUAGCAAACAGG